rnacentral:rRNA from 1 species
CAGCAGCCGCGGGAAAACGGAGGGUGCAAGCGUUAUCCGGAUUUAUUGGGUUUAAAGGGUCCGUAGGCGGACUUAUAAGUCAGUGGAGAAAGCCUGUCGCUUAACGAUAGAACUGCCAUUGAUACUGUAAGUCUUGAGUAUAUUUGAGGUAGCUGGAAUAAGUAGUGUAGCGGUGAAAUGCAUAGAUAUUACUUAGAACACCAAUUGCGAAGGCAGGUUACCAAGAUAUAACUGACGCUGAGGGACGAAAGCGUGGGUAGCGAACAGGAUUAGAUACCCGUGUAGUCCCUGUCUCUUAUAC